AUUGAACGCUGGCGGCAUGCUUUACACAUGCAAGUCGAACGGCAGCACGGGUGCUUGCACCUGGUGGCGAGUGGCGAACGGGUGAGUAAUACAUCGGAACAUGUCCUGUAGUGGGGGAUAGCCCGGCGAAAGCCGGAUUAAUACCGCAUACGAUCUACGGAUGAAAGCGGGGGACCUUCGGGCCUCGCGCUAUAGGGUUGGCCGAUGGCUGAUUAGCUAGUUGGUGGGGUAAAGGCCUACCAAGGCGACGAUCAGUAGCUGGUCUGAGAGGACGACCAGCCACACUGGGACUGAGACACGGCCCAGACUCCUACGGGAGGCAGCAGUGGGGAAUUUUGGACAAUGGGCGAAAGCCUGAUCCAGCAAUGCCGCGUGUGUGAAGAAGGCCUUCGGGUUGUAAAGCACUUUUGUCCGGAAAGAAAUCCUUGGCCCUAAUACGGUCGGGGGAUGACGGUACCGGAAGAAUAAGCACCGGCUAACUACGUG
rnacentral:rRNA from 1 species